rnacentral:rRNA from 1 species
UACGUAGGGGUCUAGCGUUGUCCGGAAUUAUUGGGCCUAAAGCGUCCGUAGCUGGCUUGUUAGAUGCCUGGGUAAAUCGAUGCGCUUAACGUAUCGAAUUCCGGGUAGACCGGCAAGCUCGAGACCGGGAGAGGCGUGAGCUACUCGAGGGGUAGGGGUAAAAUCCUGUAAUCCUUCGGGGAGGACCAGUGGCGAAGGCGUCACGCUAGAACGGCUCUGACAGUGAGGGACGAAGCCCUGGGGCGCAAACCGG